UCGCGCCUCUUCCCUCCCUCUCCCCCUUCUACUGUGUCCUCUCCUGAUUUUCCUCCCCGAGGAAGUCGGCCAGUGGAAUCUCGGCCGAUACAAACGCGUGGAACGGCAUCUAGUUGGCAGGGAAGCGCGUCGAGUGGACAGUUGGGAGUCGGAAGAGAGCGUAUGCGCCAUAUGUACAUAAUUACCACGGGCCAAUCGGGGAUUGAAAGCGGUGCACAAGUUUGUCGUAGCGUCGAAGCUCCAGGGUCUGGCUCGUCCCGUUGGUUCCCUCGCGUGCGUGCAUAAGCGCGCGCGCACACACAGCCGCGCAACGGUGGUUCAGUUGGUUAUUGACGUUCGUGUGCACGGGGCGCGUUGCUAGACUCUGUUCAACCACACUCUGUUCGAAAGUCGGGAACAGUAGCGAAAGGGAAAGAGGGAAUUGGCGCGUGGGUAUCUUUCGCUCGCUCCUUCCAAGAUCCCAAGAGAGGAAAUCGGAUACCGAAGAGAAGAGAGAAGAAGGAGUCGAAGGAGAAAAUAACCACUUCGGGACCGGAAAAAAAAGGAAAGACGAGUGACUGUGAUCGCCGCCCGGAAAAAAAUAUCCGAGCGAGGAGAGAGAGGCUGGUGCGGAACCGAGCUACAUGGCUCCGAAAAUUAUUCCUUCUUUCCACCGUCCACGCGUUCUUUGCUAUCCACGUUCGAGCGAGCACCACCGGUUCGAUCAACCGAAGGGGACCUCUAAAUAAUUCUCGAAUAAUUCUUGGAUUGAUUUUCGUUUCGUCGAGACGAAGAAGAGCGAAGAAGUCCAUCCAGAUUUCCACUUCCAACCUCCGCGCUGUGUCGGGUGUUAAAUCGCAUCUUGAACACGAUAUAACACGAGAGUGGACACGAGUACGGACGACCGUGCGACAAGGGAGAGCGUAAAGGGAGAACACAAAGAAGGAAGAGAGUGCGAAGGCAUGACGAGCAUGACGAGCAUGCGAACGAUGCCGCCCGUUUAACGAAUCGCCGUUUAUAAUAUUUUAUUACACGGUUGGAAAACUGCUCUCUCUACACUGGUCAAAGCUUAUGUCACACGGAAGACGAAAGAGGAGAAAAGCGACGAGAGAGAAAGAACGACGUGACACAGUGAAAAAAGAGAGGACGGAAGAUCGGGGAUGCAUGUUCCAGGACAAUAAUCGUGACAGUAGCGAUAAUCGUGAAACGUGAGCUUCCUUCGAUCUCUUCGAAUUGUUAAAGUGAUUCAAUCUCUCUUUUCGCGUGGUUGGAUUGCGAGUCGACUCAUCGUCUCUCUCUUCAACGAUUUCGAUGCUUUGUUUUCGCAAACUAAUGUUCACGCUUGUACGAACAGAAACCUUUUCAACGUGCGAUCGACGUGCACGCAUCACGCUUCUUCGAUCACCCCCUUCUCGCCCCCUUUCUUUCGUCUGAUUUCGUACAUUUCGAAAUUCGCGUUCGUCCUUUUCCCAUCUCUUUCCGUUCCGUAUUAUAAUAUUCGCGCGCGUCGAAAUCGAAAACGAAAACAAAUCGCGCCCUACGUACGACGAUUUUAUAACAAUAAUAUAACAAGAACAACAAUAAUACGAUCUACGCCGUAUCGAUUAAAUUAGUCUUCUCUCAGAUAUAUAUUUGAAUCGACGAGUUGCGAUUCCCGCUCGAAUCAUCCUUCUCCCUCGUAAAAACAUCGCACGAGGUUUUUUGCGACGAGCCACGAGGUUUUUCAACCGUCGUUUUUUCAAACGAGACGUCGCGAUACCGCGUCGAUCGAUGCUGAGAAAAAACACAAUUUUUCACGACGUAAGACGUAAGGACAAGAAGGCGAAUAGGGAGAAGAAGAAUAACAAUACCUCUCUACGCGUGUACUCUCUCCUUCCCUUUGUUCGCGGAAAGGUGUCUGCGUCCGCGUGGGAGCCGUUUCGACGAGGUGGCGCGUUCUUCGUACCAGGCAUGCCUUCCGCGUUAUCCUGAGCGAUUUUUUCCUACUCGGUGGAUAUAAUUAUAUUUCUAAGAGAUAAUUAUUUAAAGAAGAAGAAGAAGAAGAAGAAGAAAAAAAGAUAGAUGAUUAAAAGAAUAUUCUUGUAAUAUAAAGAGAAAAAGAAAAAAAACAUAAGAUCCUCUUAUUGGGGGAUUCUUUAUUUGUUGAACUGCCGUCGCUGUUCUUCGUAGUCGUUGACGCGUCGUCGUCCUUGUUGUUAUUGUUACACAACCGUUGUUGCACCGUCUCGUGUAAUAGUUUCUCGUCGCUGCCAUUCUACUACGCCGUUCUCCUCUCGUCUCCCUUGCCUCCGGUGAUUGUGUCGUGUGUCGGUGGUUUUCUCCACCGCCCUCCCCUCCCUCCCCCCUCUCUCCAACCCCCCGUCGCCACCCUUCCAAAAAAAUAUCACACACUCUUUUCUAAACAUCGACAAACUUGACCCUUUGCUCGAUCCGAUCUGCGAGUCCAUUUUUUCCCCCCAAAAACAAAAUAAAGAAAGAGAGAGAGAGAGAGAGAGAAAAAGGGAAGAACGUUCGAACUCGUCUUUUCGUCUUGGAAACAAAGAACUCCGAAGUGAAGCAUGGUAGUCAAGAACGAGAAUACGAGAAAUGGGCAUGAGCUGGCUCCAUUGAACGAGGAACGUCAGGCAGGGCAAAACGUGACAAUCGUGGUAACCGGGAAUCAAAAUGCUGCUGGCAGUCAAGAGACCAAAGAGGAGAACAGGGCGGAAUGGAGCGGGAAGAUGCAAUUUUUCCUCAGUAUUAUCGGUUACAGCGUGGGACUUGGGAAUAUAUGGAGAUUCCCUUACCUGUGCCAACAGAACGGAGGAGGUGCCUUUCUCAUCCCCUUUUUCGUGAUGCUAAUCCUAGAGGGUGUACCCCUCUUUUUAAUCGAGCUGGGUCUCGGUCAACGCAUGCGACAGGGCGCCCUUGGUGUAUGGAACACGAUACAUCCAUGGUUAGGCGGUAUAGGGAUAGCAUCGUGCAUCGUCACCUUCUUCGUAGCACUUUAUUACAACGUCAUCAUUACCUGGUGCUUCUAUUAUCUUUUCAAUUCGCUGGAGGCCGUCACGAUUAAAGCUGGCGAACCGUUACCAUGGGCGAAAUGUCCGGAGGUUGAUGGGAAGCCGGUCGAGGAAUGCGUGAAGAGUUCGGAAACUGCCUAUUUUUGGUACAGAACCACUCUGGACGCGGCACCCUCAAUCGAGGAAGGAUCGAGCGGUCUGAAAUGGUGGAUCGUCCUUUGUCUACUGUUGAGUUGGAUCGUCGUCUUCUUUAUCGUGAUGAAGGGAAUACAAUCGUCGGGGAAGGUGGUAUAUUUUACAUCCAUGUUCCCGUAUUUGGUGCUUACUAUCUUUUUUAUUCGUGGAAUAACGUUAAAAGGUGCCAGCGCUGGAUUGGCCCACAUGUACACGCCAAAGAUCGAGAAGCUGUUAGAGCCGACGGUGUGGCUCGACGCAGCGACGCAAGUUUUUUAUAGUUUCGGACUAGCGUUCGGCUCCCUGAUCGCGUUCGGAUCUUACAACACUCCAGACAACCACUGCGUCCGGGACGUGAUUCUGGUUAGCUGUUGCAACGCCUUCACCGCAAUUUACGCGAGUGUCGUGAUAUUCGCCAUUUUAGGCUUUAAGGCGAUGACAAAUGUCGAUAAGUGCCUCGCAGGUAACAAAGACUUACUCGUUCAACACGGAUUUGCCUAUCAGAAUACCACCAUGAAGGAAUACGAGAGUAUUGUAAAUAAUAUCACUGCAACGAACAUGAAUUUCACCCUUGAAACGUGUAGCCUGAGCGAACAAUUGGACAACGCUGCCGAAGGAACGGGAUUAGCUUUCAUAGUGUUCACACAGGCGAUAGUCGAGCUACCAGGCGCUCCUUUCUGGUCCUGUAUUUUCUUUCUGAUGCUUUUAGCCCUCGGUCUCGGUUCCCAAAUCGGUAUACUAGAGGGCAUGCUGUGCGUCAUCUUCGACAUAGAUCUGUUCAAGAGAAUAAAAAAGCAAUACAUGACAGGGGUAGUUUGCACGGUGUGCUUCUUUGUUGGUUUAAUAUUCUGUACCGGAGCCGGAGAAUAUUGGCUAAAGAUGUUCGACAGUUUCGCAGGUACCAUCGGUCUCGUGAUGGUCGCGCUCAUGGAAAUGAUAUCCGUCAUCUUUGUUUACGGCCACGAAAAAUUCACGAAAGAUAUCGAAGAGAUGACAGGAUACAGACCAGGGGCGUAUUGGCAAUUCACCUGGCGAUUUCUCGCCCCUAUAAUCAUGGUCUGCAUCCUUGUCUCCAGUAUAAUCUCCAUGGUUGUGAAGAAGCCUCAAUAUUCCGCGUGGGAUGCGUCACGGGGCAUAGCUGUACCCACCGCGUAUCCCGGCUGGGUGUUGGCUAUAGCGGUCGUCAUCAUUUUUGCGGGCAUCGCGCCAAUACCGAUUGUAUUCCUUUUGAGGCGGUUCCAAUGCGUCAAGUUGGACGUUGACAUUCACCAAGGCAGCAUACGACGUAUCGAUACCACCGUUUCUACCAAAGAAAUGAUGGGAGAUGUCGAUACAACGUAGAGACGUAGUCAUCGUAAUAGAAGGACAACUUAAUUGGCGCACCGAGAGAGAGAGAGAGAGAGAGAGAAACAUGUCACGAUUACCCGUGAUUAGAGCAAGUCUCAGGUGGGAAUCGGGAAGAAGAAUUACAUUUACUCAAAGUGCGUCGAUUAAGCCUUAAGAAUGAGAGCAUUUAAGAUUUACGUUGGACGUACCUGCAGUUAUAGGAAAGCGUCCGUUCUGUGUGCGGUAACGUCGAUUAAUCGCUUCUUCUAUAGCUACCUUACACUUGGACGAGUACCACGACCGCCUCGAAGAUUUUCCCGAGGAGGACGAAGACGUGAACAGCGAUGACGACAACAACAGUGCCCCGCCGAUAACGAAGAUCGUCCCCAACAAACUUCAGGGUAAACCGUUCAAAAUGGAAGUGAUGGACUUUUAAAAGUUGUCAGGUUCGUCGACUUUUGUCGUAUCGUUUCACCUUACGUGACGACAGAACAUGGAAAGAGGGUUGAUCGAACAUUCUCGCCCCUUUCGAAUUUCGAUUCUCAGGAAACGCGUAAGACGAUACGAAAUAAUUGCAGGUACGAAUCGACGAAUGAGAGAGAGAGAGAGAGCGAGCGAGAGCGAGAGAGAAAGAGAAAGAGAGAAUUGGUGCUUUUCGAGAGCAAUACUAAAUAACUUCCGUCGAAUCCGUGUACACGAAUGUGACACGAGAUUAGCGUGUACGAAGCAAAUAAAAAAGAGGGAGAAAAAGCGGAGAAAACUUAGAAAAAUACUCGGUCGAUUCUAAUCGCAUUCGAAAUCGCUUCGUCGCGCCUCCGCUUACUUCACUUCGAUCGUUCGAUCGAUUUUAUCGAGAUCUAAAUUAAUUUUAACUGACUGAACGUUAUCGUGCGACGAUCGGUAUUUAUUUUCGGCUAUUUUAUUUAAUCAUUUGAUUAUAAUCGGCAUCGCAUAGCGAGUAACGAAAGGAGAAAAAAAAAAAAAAAAAAAAAAAGAAAAAA
rnacentral:misc_RNA from 1 species